GACGAACGCUGGCGGCGUGCCUAAUACAUGCAAGUAGAACGCUGAAGGAAGGAGCUUGCUCUUUCUGGAUGAGUUGCGAACGGGUGAGUAACGCGUGGGUAACCUGCCUGGUAGCGGGGGAUAACUAUUGGAAACGAUAGCUAAUACCGCAUAAAAUUGAUUAUUGCAUGAUAGUCAAUUAAAAGGUGCAACUGCACCACUACCAGAUGGACCUGCGUUGUAUUAGCUAGUUGGUGGGGUAACGGCUCACCAAGGCGACGAUACAUAGCCGACCUGAGAGGGUGAUCGGCCACACUGGGACUGAGACACGGCCCAGACUCCUACGGGAGGCAGCAGUAGGGAAUCUUCGGCAAUGGACGGAAGUCUGACCGAGCAACGCCGCGUGAGUGAAGAAGGGUUUCGGAUCGUAAAGCUCUGUUGUAAGAGAAGAACGAGUGUGAGAGUGGAAAGUUCACACUGUGACGGUAUCUUACCAGAAAGGGACGGCUAACUACGUG
rnacentral:rRNA from 1 species